ACUUCGAAAGGGUUCUUUGUUAAAGUGGCCAGUUUAUGAGUUGAGCCUAGGUUGAGCGUUUGCUUUUGGAGCUUUAGCUUUGAGGAGAUGAAAUUAGUGGCUUGCUUUGAGAGCACGGUGUAGAGUUCGUAUGCCUUGUAAUAGAAUUUGUACCCCGAGAAUUGCUUAUGGUAUAGUUGAAUGGAUUAGAACCUAGAUUGUUUUAUAGUUAGUUGUAAUUGGAUUAUUCAACCUUGUAUUUGGAUUGUAGAUAGAAACUUUGUAGCCUGUGCAUUUGGGUUAGAAUAACCCAAGUGUGGCAUAACACCUCGUGUUGUUGGUUUAGCUUCCGCAUAUUUUCAGAAAUAUUUUCCUUUUAAUCUUUAGUUUCUGUACUUAAAA